rnacentral:rRNA from 1 species
GAUGAACGCUAGCGGCAGGCUUAACACAUGCAAGUCGAGGGGUAACAGGGUGCUUGCACCGCUGACGACCGGCGCACGGGUGCGUAACGCGUAUAGAACCUACCUUUUACAGGAGAAUACCCCAGAGAAAUUUGGAAUAAUGCUCCAUAGUAUUAUUGAAUGGCAUCAUUUGAUAAUUAAACAUUUAUGGGUAAAAGAUGGCUAUGCGUUCUAUUAGCUAGAUGGUAAGGUAACGGCUUACCAUGGCAACGAUAGAUAGGGGUCCUGAGAGGGAGAUCCCCCACACUGGUACUGAGACACGGACCAGACUCCUACGGGAGGCAGCAGUGAGGAAUAUUGGACAAUGGAGGCAACUCUGAUCCAGCCAUGCCGCGUGCAGGAAGACGGUCCUAUGGAUUGUAAACUGCUUUUAUACAGGAAGAAACACUCCCUCGUGAGGGAGCUUGACGGUACUGUAUGAAUAAGCACCGGCUAACUCCGUGCCAGCAGCCGCGGUAAUACGGAGGGUGCAAGCGUUAUCCGGAAUCAUUGGGUUUAAAGGGUCCGUAGGCGGGCUAAUAAGUCAGGGGUGAAAUCCAACAGCUUAACUGUUGAAUUGCCUUUGAUACUGUUAGUCUUGAGUUAUAUGGAAGUAGAUAGAAUGUGUAGUGUAGCGGUGAAAUGCUUAGAGAUUACACAGAAUACCGAUUGCGAAGGCAGUUUAC